UAAUUUGAAUUUGUAAAAAACGAGAAAGAGAGAAAGACAAAAGAAAUUGGGCAAUGGAGUAUUUUUAUUGUAUAAUUAUAAGUGUAUAGGACGAAAAAAUAUGUGCUUGCAUGUGUAUAUCUAUUCUUUUUAUAUCUAAUUCUUGUAAAUCUAUUUCAUACCAUUCUUGAUUUAAUAUAUCUUCUAUAUCAUGAUCACAUAUUUUUUCCCAUAUAAUUCUUUUUAUGUCAACAAUUUCUAUAUCUUUAAGCAUAUAUAAGAUCAAACUUUUAUAGCUUUAUAUUUCAUCAUACAUUGUAAUCAUGUUUAUUUAUUUAUGCAGGUUUAUUUUCAAUUAUUCCUUCCUAUCAUGUCAUAAUUCAAUUAAAUUCAUAUUAGUGUAUUAUAAGCUAGAGUAUCGUUAUCAUGUUUUUUGGUCAGUACUAGCAUCGUACUUUAGCGGAUAAUUACUGCUUAUCAGCGCCUCAACCUUGUGUACUCCCCUAACGGCAUCCCUACCGGUUUCCACUAUAGGAUGACAUAGUAUAACAGUUUUCUCCCUGUUUCCCGUUUACUAGCAAACUAGAAUUCAUGAUUCAAAUACUAGUAUAUAAUAACUAACAUAAAUUUAAUCAAUCAUAUAUAUGAUAUUCAGGAAUAUAUGAAAUUAGUUCUGCAUAGUUGUUAAACAAUAUAUCUUUGUCUCUUGAUUUUCCAUGCUUUCUAAAAUAUCUGACUUGAUUUUGGAUUUCUCCAUUUUUUAACUUAGUUUUUUUUAGAGAGGGUUUUAAAAGGGUUUUUAUUAACUUAAGAUUUUGUUUGGCAUUGCCUUCCUUUCAUUUACAAUUUGACAAUCUAUAUAUACUAAAUCCUAAACCUGUACAUAAGUGCGCCUAGUGUAUACUUUACAACUUUUUAAACAAAACUUUACAAAUGGCCGGCUAUACAUAUUGGUCUUUCAAAAUUUAAAAGCUAUUUACUAUACAAAGGAAUCUUAUCUCUUAUUUUUAUAUUUUUUCAAAGAUAUCUAUCCCUUUUGUCUACCACCUUUUUUGUUUAUAUCUCUCUUUAUGUCUUUUUUCUUCUUUUGUCUUUGUCGUCAUUUUUCUUUGUCUACUAUAGCUCUUUUUCUUCAUCCUUAUCUUAUUUUGCAUUCUUAUCUCUUCAUCUUUAUUCCAAAUCAAUAUCUGACAUAACAUUAUCUUCUCCAUUGCAUUUGAAACAUCUGUGAUCUUGGUAUUUGUGUCCAAUAAAUUUACAAUAUCUAAUUAAUAAGUCUUUUGAAAUAAAUUCUUUCUUUAAUGCUCGUGUUGUAGGUUGUUCCUCUAGCUUUAGUAAUGAUAAAAUUCGUCGCUGAACUUCAUCCAUAUCUGCUCUUCUGAAUUCCCUUGAGUUUGAAUAUAUUAUAACUUGAUCUCUAGCGUAAUAGCUCCAUAUGACAUUUCCAUUUAAAUAGUUAUUUGCUAAUUCUUGUAUGAUAGUUGAUAUACCAAUUAUUCUUUUAUUAGCAUAAAAAUUUGGUAUUUCUAUCUUUGGUAUUUCAUUCUGAUGUCCAAUAUCCUCUGCUGUAUUUAAACAAACAUUAUGGGUUUUAGGGAGUUUCACAUCGUCUCCUUUUAUCUCUGGAAUUUACCAUCUCCCGAUCGACGUAGCUCCACAUUUUAUAGUCAUGCUGCUGGCUUAUAUUAACUUUAGACUUCAGGUUAUCUUCAUUUGUCUUUAACUUUUGUAUCUCAUUGUCCAUACUAUCCACUUUAGUACAAAGUUUAUUAAUGGUUUUGAGUAUCUUUUCAAUUGUAUCUUCGUCUUUGUUCUCAGUCUGAGUAGCUUUGUCUUGAUAAGUAGUCUGCAACACCAUUCUUAUCAGUCUUUAUCACUUCAAUUGUAAAUGUAAAGUUUAAUAUAUUUAAUACCAAUUUUCUAAUUUCUUUCGUUGUUA